GACGAACGCUGGCGGCGUGCUUAACACAUGCAAGUCGAACGGAAAGGCCCUGCUUUUGUGGGGUGCUCGAGUGGCGAACGGGUGAGUAACACGUGAGUAACCUGCCCUUGACUUUGGGAUAACUUCAGGAAACUGGGGCUAAUACCGGAUAGGAGCUCCUGCUGCAUGGUGGGGGUUGGAAAGUUUCGGCGGUUGGGGAUGGACUCGCGGCUUAUCAGCUUGUUGGUGGGGUAGUGGCUUACCAAGGCUUUGACGGGUAGCCGGCCUGGGGGGGUGACCGGCCCACUUGGGGCUGGAGUUAGCGCCAAGCUCCUUCCGGGGGGGAGAGUGGGGGAAAAUGGAAAAAGGGGCGGAACCCGUAGGCAGAAACGCCGGGUGGGGGAGGACGGCUUUCGGUUUGUAACCCUCUUUCCCCUGUGAAGAAGGGGGGGGGAGGGAAAGGGGUAAAAAAGCACCGGCAAAUUACGG
rnacentral:rRNA from 1 species